rnacentral:rRNA from 1 species
GAUGAACGCUGGCGGCGUGCCUAAUACAUGCAAGUCGAGCGAACAGACGAGGAGCUUGCUCCUCUGACGUUAGCGGCGGACGGGUGAGUAACACGUGGAUAACCUACCUAUAAGACUGGGAUAACUUCGGGAAACCGGAGCUAAUACCGGAUAAUAUAUUGAACCGCAUGGUUCAAUAGUGAAAGACGGUUUUGCUGUCACUUAUAGAUGGAUCCGCGCCGCAUUAGCUAGUUGGUAAGGUAACGGCUUACCAAGGCAACGAUGCGUAGCCGACCUAAGAGGGUGAUCGGCCACACUGGAACUGGGACACGGUCCAGACUCCUACGGGAGGCAGCAGUAGGGAACCUUCCGCAAUGGGCGAAAGCCUGACGGAGCAACGCCGCGUGAGUGAUGAAGGUCUUCGGAUCGUAAAACUCUGUUAUGAGGGAAGAACAAAUGUGUAAGUAACUAUGCACGUCUUGACGGUACCUAAUCAGAAAGCCACGGCUAACUACGUG